GCCACGCUCUUCAUGCCUGUGUGUUUCCCGCACCCCUGGGAAGGCGAAGGGAAGGAGCUACAUUGUCAAGUGUGGUCCAGCAAGUAAGCAGGUCCUGAGCACCAAACAUAUCACAGGCACUCACUGCUUGGACACACCAGUCAACAGGAGCCUGCUAGAUACAGCCAUGUGCCACUCCAACCUCCCUGAGGGCAUGGCCUAUGCACUAUUU
rnacentral:lncRNA from 1 species